UUCCUGGAUUCUGAGAGACCCAGAAGAGUCGCUCCACUCGAAACUCCAGUCUGCACUCCCAGAAACAAUGUUGUCCAUAGAGGGAGGUCUCUUGACAACAGUUGCUGGCUGAGGAGGAGGAGGAGAACGUUGGCCAUGUGGUCCACGCACAGGAGGGUCACCUCUUUUGCUGUGCGUCUGUGUUCCUGUCUCCGGAAAGAAGGGAACGCUCAACAGGCCAGAGCUUGCCCUGGGAGGAAGAGGAGUGGCAAGUAGCAAACUCGAGCAAUGGUAGUAUCGGCGCUCCCUGUAUCCUUGGCUGUCCUACCGCAAGGGAAAUCUCGGUCUUGUAGAGAUGCUGCUUAAUGGGGCCAGUAAGGAGAGUGCUACCUGUCGGUUCCUGGAUUCUGAGAGACCCAGAAGAGUCGCUCCACUCGAAACUCCAGUCUGCACUCCCAGAAACAAUGUUGUCCAUAGAGGGAGGUCUCUUGACAACAGUUGCUGGCUGACGAGGAGAACGUUGGCCAUGUGGUCCACGCACAGAAAUCCCCCAAAUUAGUCUUCACUUCUUCUGCCUGAGUAAGCAGGUGGAAGUACCCAAGCAUAAUUGGGCAGGAAAGAGAGAGACACAGGAAAGCUCCCUGCUGACCUUGCUUCAAAAAGGGGUUGGGGUGGGGUUAAUGCACAUUUAGCCUGAGCUCAGCUCAUGCUUGCUUCACACUUCCUAACCCAAGGGAA